rnacentral:rRNA from 1 species
UACGUAGGGGGCUAGCGUUGUCCGGAAUCAUUGGGCGUAAAGCGCACGUAGGCGGCUUUGUAAGUUAGAGGUGAAAGCCCGGGGCUCAACUCCGGAAUUGCCUUUAAGACUGCAUCGCUAGAAUUGUGGAGAGGUAAGUGGAAUUCCGAGUGUAGAGGUGAAAUUCGUAGAUAUUCGGAAGAACACCAGUGGCGAAGGCGACUUACUGGACAGAUAUUGACGCUGAGGGGCGAAAGCGUGGGGAGCAAACAGG